GAUGAACGCUGGCGGCGUGCUUAACACAUGCAAGUCGAACGGAAAGGCCCAAGCUUGCUUGGGUACUCGAGUGGCGAACGGGUGAGUAACACGUGGGUGAUCUGCCCUGCACUUCGGGAUAAGCCUGGGAAACUGGGUCUAAUACCGGAUAGGACGAUGGUCUGGAUGCCAUUGUGGAAAGUUUUUUCGGUGUGGGAUGAGCUCGCGGCCUAUCAGCUUGUUGGUGGGGUAAUGGCCUACCAAAGCGUCGACGGGUAGCCGGCCUGAGAGGGUGUACGGCGACAUUGGGACUGAGAUACGGCGCAGACACCUACGGGGGGCAGCAAUGUGGAAUAUUGCACAAUGGGCGCAGACCUGAUGCGGCGACGCGGCGUGGGGGAGGACGGCCUUCGGGUUGUAAACUCCGUUCGCUAGGGACGAAGCGUGUUUGUGACGGUACCGGGAGAAGAAGCACCGGCUAACUACGUG
rnacentral:rRNA from 1 species